UAUAAACUGUUGUGAGCCACUGUGUA
rnacentral:piRNA from 1 species